UAAAUCCACCCUAUAAAGUGCGACAUAUGGGUGUGGCAGAAGUCGAAUUCUUGACCAUAGACGGCGCCACUGGAAAGCAAGAACAAUAGCACCCCUUGCUUUAAUGGCCUGCGGCAACAACACAAACAUCAUUUCUUGUAAAGUUUCGAAAAAAAAUGUUUCGAAAUUUCUUUAAGUUUCGAAAAUUAUCAAAUAACAAGCAUAGACUUAAUCGUUUUCUCUUUACUUUUCAGAAAAAAAGAAUCACAAUAAGAGGAAAAGAAAAUCAAAUAACGAUAACUGUCAACCUUGUCCAAAAUCAAAACGCCAAACAAAACACUUCUGUCUCAGUGACUUUGUAUUGCAAGCUGUUGUGCUCUCCUUUGAAAAACAACAAGAAAAUAUUCGUUUUGAAAUAGAAGUCACCCGUUCUUUCAAAAAUAAAAUACCCAUAAUGCCCAGGGAGUACAUAUGGUCUCCAAGUCAUUGCCAGUGCCCUAAACUUGGACUUGGAAAAAAAUUGAUUAUAAUGGGCAAUAUGAAGACAGUUGGCAACCAGAGAGAAAGCAGAUUAGUGGUGGAUGACAAUUCUUUUGUCAGGAAGUACACUCACAAAAGAGCAAGAACAAUGCUAAGAUUACUCAGAGACCAAACUUUUAUAUGUAAAAGGUAUUAAAUGAGUAUUAUUAAUUUACAUAAAUUAUUUGAGUUUCAUCCUAAUUCAUUUAGUAUUUAGUUGCAUUAUUAAAUGAAUCAAACAAAAUGUCCCACAGUGGACUGAUCGGAAGACACACUUUCCAGUGAAUCACCAAAGUCAAGUAAAUCACUGUUGUCAGUGGGCGGAAGAUACGCAUGACAAACAUGAGCAGGCGAACGCUGUUUAUGGAAAAUUCUUCAAAACCCCAUCACAAAAAAUGUUAUAAUAUUAAACUCGUUGCAAUAAAAAAAAACGCUGACUUAAGAUUUCAGAUAUACAAAGAAAGCCAAGAAUAAGGUAACUUAAUAACUAGUUUUACAUCUUCCAAAAACUGCUUAAAGAAAUAUGUGCUGGUAUGUUUUAUAAUCAAUAUAGAGUUUUAUGAAAAUUAUAAUACUCUUAAAAAAAUCAGUGCAUUUCGAACACAUUUCGUUAAAACUGGUUGGCACGAAAGGAUUGAAAUUAAUAACAAUAGCUAAUAAAUUGUUUGUAGAAAGUGUUUUAAUUAGAUUUUGUGUUUGCUUGCGCGAAGUUUGCAUUUUAUUUAAAUCUCAUGAGGGAGUGAGUGAUUACUUCGCGAAGGAGCUAAGGGUGUACGGUAUCGGUCCCCUUUAAACUAUGCUUCUAUAAAAUGGUCAACUUUGUGUAAAGGUCGUUGAGAUACCAAAAAGGGGGAUACAACCCCUCUGCAGAGGAGCAGUCUUGAUGUCCCAUCUUUAAACCAUCCUCAAGGAUGUUUGUCAGACUGCUUACAAUAGCCCAUUGUGCAGUUAAAAUAUAACGUAAAUAAAGCAGUCCUACAGAUGAAAUGUGUAAAAAAAACGUGUUCAUCCUUUACUAUGACUUAAAAUAUUUUGAAGGAUCCAAAAGUUCACAAUCAAUUAAAAAUACAAUUCAAUGUGACAAGUUUCCAUGAAUGGAGAAUAUCAAUUGCAGAAAGAAUAUCUAAAGUAAUCAAUGUAACUACAACAAAAAGGAAUUUUCCAAAAAGGUGCGUUAGUGAAUUUAGAAGCUAAUAGCAGUCUAUACUAAUAAGUUAUAAAAGAUUCAAUGCAAAAUUUUUUCAACUUCAAGAAUUUUGUUUGACAAAAAUUUUUUAUAAUUCAUUUUACAAAGUUUUAAACCUGUCAUUCGAAUUAUUUAAUCAAGAUCAUCUAAGUAAUGAUAAAAUCAUUGUAUAGUGGGUAUCUUAUAUUAAGCUGUAAAAGUUUAAAUAUUUUUAUUUACAGAUACAGGUAUUGAACUACAUUGAUUCCAUUUGUGUUUCAAAAUAUUUGAAUAAAUAAGUUUUUGAUUGUA